UCAUGCAUUAGAUUUAUUAAUCUUCGCUCAAAGUGGUAUCCGAUACUCUUUCUGUAAUGUUAAACAAUUUUUAGAGGAAUGGUGUUGGGAAACUUGUACCACAACUAAAAGGAAAUUAACCUAUUGAAACCAAUUGUGGUUUUAGAAACAAGUUUAAGUUUGAUGAAGAUGACAAUGGAGAAAGAAUAAAGCGGGACUUGUUGUACAAAG
rnacentral:lncRNA from 1 species